rnacentral:lncRNA from 1 species
AUAGACACACGUAUAAAGAGAAAUAGAGAGAUAAUAAUGUUUGUUUUUCCAAAAUGUCCAAGAACUUGAAGGGGAAUUAUUUUUAUUCAAACAUCUCCUUUCCUUUUUUAUUUGUCUACUUUCAUUUUUUAUUUUAAAUACCGCGACUAAUCACAUAAAAUUUGUGUUUGUUCUUUUUAUAUUUAUAUUAUUUUUAUUUUUAUUUUUUGUACAAUUUAUUACUAGUAUAGUAAUCGAUUCCCUAAAUCUAUGAACCCCUCCAACUAAAUCCAAUAAUUUUUUAUUUUAUUAUUAAUCAAGAAUUUCGUAUAUAGCUAGAACGGCCCUCACAAAUUGCAAA